AGGCCAGUGUAACCCUGAUUCCAAAACCAAAGAUGCCACCAAAAAAAAGAGAAAGUUACAGGUCAAUAUCAUUGAUGAAAUACCAAAAUCCUUAACAAAAUAUUAACAAACUGGGACCCUACAGUGGCCCAGCACUGCAAGCCAGUGACUCUAGCCCUAGCACCUGAGUCUGGGGACUCCAUAACCCUGUCCUCGGACCUGUUCCCAUGGAGACAGCUCAAGACUACACAGCACCCCAUGUGCUGACAUGAGAAAAUCUUUUUCUCGUUUGCCUUUGCACUCAAAUAAAGAUGGUUAUGAUGGAGUAAUAUCAACUGAAAAUAUGAGAAAUUAGUUGGUUAAUAGUGAAGUCCAUAAUGAAGAUGGAAGAAGUGGAGAAGUCUCUCAGUUUCUCCAUGUGGAAUUUACAGGAAGAGAUAGUGUUAUUUGCCCCACUUGUCAAGGAACAGGAAGAAUUCCUAGGGCACAAGAAAACCAAUUGAUAUCAUUGAUUCCAUACAGUGGUCAAGAAGAAUAAACUGUAUGGAUGGCUUCUCUGUUUGUUUGCUUCUUUCUGGAUUGGCUAUGUUUUUCCUUUUCCCUCACUAGUGAUUUGAAAUAUAUUGGCAUAAGAUCAGCAUGCAUCAGUUAUGAUAUUCAAAAGCAUACAAUGUAUUUAAAUAUCACAAAUAACAUUAAAUGUAAUGAACAGUAACUAUUAUUCUGUUGAAGUUGAAAAUAUCACUUCACAAGUUCAAUUUUCAAAAACAGUUAUUUAAACAACGUAUUAAUAUUGGUCCACUGGGUAUGAAACAAGUUGAUUAUACAGUACCUACUAUCAUAGCAGAGGAAAUGAGUUGUAUGUUUGAUUUCUGUACAAUGAUAUCCAUCAAAGUGCAUAACAUAGUACUCAUGAUGCAACAACUCACUUUGGACACUCAGAACAGAUAUCCCAGGAAGGGUACCAGUAUGUUGAUUGUGGAAGGAACACAACUUAUCAGUUGGGUCAAUCUGAAUAUCUAAAUGUAUUUCAGCCACAGCAGUAAACACUGAAAAGUGCAGCUGGAGAAAAAGAAAUACCUAUUGGUGUUUUCUGAACUCUAAAGGAUGAGGUACUUACUUCCUGAUAGGAGAUCUUAAAUUGAAUAACCUAAACUUUAUACUUCUGUUUAAGAGUAUAGCUAAAAGUAUGUGGACUUCUAGGUUAUUUCAGCUCUCCACUUUGUGUUCAGAUAUUUGUACCAGGAUCUUUUACUUGAAUCUAAAUUUACCGAUUGGUUUUCUUCUCUUCUGAACCCCAAAGGAGAAAACUUAGACUUCUCCUACAGGACAAUAAAUAAUUAUUUGGAAUUCACAGCUCUAAUCACUAGUGAAAACAUAAUUUUGGUUAUGAACAUAAUUUGAGAAACUUUAUUUCUAAUGUUUUUGAGUCUUUUUCUUUUUUUUGCUGCCCCGCAGCAUAUGGACUUCCCGACCAGGGAUCAGAUCCAAGCUGCAUUUGAGACCUAAGCCACAGCUGCAGCAAUGCUGAAUCCUCAAGCCACUGUGCCAGGCUGGGGAUCAAACCUGUGUCCCAGCAUUCCCAAGACACUGGUGGUCUCAUUGCACCACAGUGGGGUCCCAUUGUGCCACAGCAGGAACUCCUCUGAUGUUUUAAUAGAAUAUAUAAUAAUACUGAGGUCCUGUUAUUCAUAGAAGACUUUAAAAGAAUAAACUUUUUUUCCUGUUUAUAAAUCCCCAGUGCUACUUAGUAGUAUUUCAGCUAUAUACUAUUUUAGCUUUUAGCUAAAAUGUAUUUUUUUAUUUGAAAUCAUACUUAUUUGUGUGUUGUUAGUCUUAUUUCAAGCUAGUACUUGCAUAACACUUAUAAACCAAAAUAAUCUUUGCAAAAUUCUGUACUUUAAAAUCUUAAGAACCUUGAAAUAAUUCAUUUCACAUGUCUUUCCCUGUUAGUAACAGUUCUGUGAAAUUUUUGUGCAAUCUUAUAACAUAAUCAUUUAUUGUACUGUAAGUAAAUUGUGUGACUUUUCUAUAGCUUUAAUAUCGAAGUGGUACAGAUUUAAGUUGCUCAUAAAAAUUUUUUUAAAAAACAGGAAAAUGAAAUUUGGAAACCUCUAGAAUAUGUCUAUGGUUCCAGUUACAUAUUGGAUCAGGCAUAGGUUUGAAAUAAAAUAUUUUGAUGCUCAAGAAAAAUAUUAGCAAACUAAAUCCAACAAUAUAUUAAAAGGAUCAUACACCGUGAUCAAAUGGAUUUUUAUCCCAGGGAUUCAAGGAUGGUUCAGUAUUUGCAGAUCAAUCAGUGUGAUACAUCACAUUAACAAAACAAAAGAUAAGAUCAUCUCUUAUAUGCAGAGAGAGCCUGUGACAAAAUUCAACUUUCAUUUAUAAAACUCUCAACUAAGUGGAUAUAGAGGAAACAUACCUCAACAUAAAAAAUGCCAUAAUAUGACAAACCCACAGCUAGCAUAAUACUCAAUGGUGAAAAGCUAAAGCUUGGAGUUCCCAUCAUGGCACAGUGGUUAACAAAUCCGACUAGGAACCAUGAGGUUGCGGGUUCGGCCCCUGGCCUUGCUCAGUGGGUUAAUGAUCUGGCGUUGCCGUGAGCUGUGGUGUAGGUUGCAGACGCGGCUCGGAUCCCGCGUUGCUGUGGCUCUGGCGUAGGCCGGUGACUACAGCUCCGAUUAGACCCCUAGCCUGGGAAUCUCCAUAUGCCGCGAGAGCAGCCCAAUAAAUGGCAAAAAAGACAAAAAAAAAAA